rnacentral:rRNA from 1 species
GAUGAACGGCUGGCGGCGUGCUUAACACAUGCAAGUCGAACGGGAGAAAGGGUAGCUUGCUAUCUUUUCUUAGUGGCGGACGGGUGAGUAACGCGUGGGUAACCUGCCCUUUGCAGGGGGAUAACAGUGAGAAAUCACUGCUAAUACCGCAUACCAACUUCUUUCGCAUGAAAGAAGUUUGAAAGAUUUAUCGGCAAAGGAUGGACCCGCGUUGGAUUAGCUAGUUGGUGAGAUAACAGCCCACCAAGGCAACGAUCCAUAGCCGGCCUGAGAGGGUGAACGGCCACACUGGGACUGAGACACGGCCCAGACUCCUACGGGAGGCAGCAGUGGGGAAUAUUGGGCAAUGGGGGAAACCCUGACCCAGCGACGCCGCGUGGGUGAAGAAAUCCUUCGGGAUGUAAAGCCCUGUUGUAUGGGAAGAGCGGAAGACGGUACCAUACGAGGAAGCCCCGGCAAACUACGUG